GAUGAACGCUAGCGGGAGGCCUAACACAUGCAAGCCGAGCGGUAGAGUUCCUUCGGGAACUUGAGAGCGGCGUACGGGUGCGUAACACGUGUGCAACCUACCUUUAUCUGGGGGAUAGCCUUUCGAAAGGAAGAUUAAUACCCCAUAAUAUAAUGAUUGGCAUCAAUUAUUAUUGAAAACUCCGGUGGAUAGAGAUGGGCACGCGCAAGAUUAGAUAGUUGGUGAGGUAACGGCUCACCAAGUCAAUGAUCUUUAGGGGUCCUGAGAGGGAGAUCCCCCACACUGGUACUGAGGCACGGACCAGACUCCUACGGGAGGCAGCAGUGAGGAAUAUUGGACAAUGGGUGAAAGCCUGAUCCAGCCAUCCCGCGUGAAGGAUGACGGUCCUAUGGAUUGUAAACUUCUUUUGUACAGGGAUAAACCUACUCUCGUGAGGGUAGCUGAAGGUACUGUACGAAUAAGCACCGGCUAACUCCGUG
rnacentral:rRNA from 1 species